GACGAACGCUGGCGGCAUGCCUAAUACAUGCAAGUCGAGCGAACAGAUGAAGUGCUUGCACUUCUGACGUUAGCGGCGAACGGGUGAGUAACACGUAAGGAAUCUACCUAUAAGCGGGGGAUAACAUUCGGAAACGGAUGCUAAUACCGCAUAAUAUCUUCUUCCGCAUGGAAGAAGAUUGAAAGACGGCUCUGCUGUCACUUAUAGAUGACCUUGCGGUGCAUUAGUUAGUUGGUGGGGUAACGGCCUACCAAGACGAUGAUGCAUAGCCGACCUGCGAGGGUGAUCGGCCACAUUGGGACUGAGACACGGCCCAAACGCCUACGGGAGGCAGCAGUAGGGAAUCUUCCGCAAUGGGCGAAAGCCUGACGGAGCAAUGCCGCGUGAGUGAAGAAGGCCUUCGGGUCGUAAAACUCUGUUAUAAGAGAAGAACAAAUUGUAGAGUAGCUGCUACAGUCUUGACGGUAUCUUAUCAGAAAGCCACGGCUAACUACGUGCCAGCCGCCGCAGUAA
rnacentral:rRNA from 1 species